rnacentral:rRNA from 1 species
AUAUUGGACAAUGGGGGAAACCCUGAUCCAGCCAUGCCGCGUGUGUGAAGAAGGUCUUCGGAUUGUAAAGCACUUUAAGUUGGGAGGAAGGGCGUCAAGUUAAUACCUUGAUGCUUUGAAUUUACCGACAGCAUCAGCACCGGCUAACUCUGUGCCAGCCGCCGCGGUAAUACAGAGGGUGCAGGCGUUAAUCGGAAUUACUGGGCGUAAAGCGCACGUAGGUGGUUCAGUAAGAUGGGUGUGAAAUCCCCGGGCUCAACCUGGGAACUGCUUUCAUAACUGCUGAGCUAGAGUACUGUAGAGGGGAGUGGAAUUUCCUGUGUAGCGGUGAAAUGCGUAGAGAUAGGAAGGAACACCAGUGGCGAAGGCGACUACCUGGACUGAUACUGACACUGAGGUGCGAAAGCGUGGGGAGCAAAC